AUCCAGCUGACCAGUCGCAAAUAGGACGAAACGCGCGUCAAACUGGAU
rfam:Schistosoma mattheei strain Denwood, Zambia genome assembly, scaffold: SMTD_scaffold0002911